GAAAAUAAAACUUUUGCAAGGAGACUAACAAAAGCCGAAGUGUUUGAUUUUGUUUCUCUUUGAAAAGAAAACCCUUUUGACCACUAAAACACCAUUGGAAUUAAAACCUAAAAAAACCUUUUUGGGUAAUGGUAUAUUUUAGAGUAUGAAACAAGUCAAGGAGGAAGGUGAUACUGAUAAUGCCACGAGCAUUGCUGAUACAACUGAUAAUGCAGUUCGAAAGACAGUCUCUGUUCAAGGGAGGAUCUCAGGUCCCACUAGACGAUCAACUAAGGGAGGCUGGACAGAGGAGGAGG